GGACUAGACAGUCAUUAGAUACAGAAUACACAAGUUCCUCUCACAGAAGGGCUGAAAGAAUCCGAAGGGGGUGGUAAUGGUGAGAGCAGCUGUCCACCCCAUAAAGACCAAGUCGUCAGGAUUGCAGAAGCAGAUACUUGGACUCUCACCACCAGGACUCUACUGCUGUCGACCUGUUUUGUUUUGUUCUGUUCUGUUUUUCUCAGAUCUGAGGUCAGGAUUCCCUGGCUGACUCAUAGGCUGGCUGACUCGAGCAUCACCCCUCCCCUCUGGAGAUCAAAGCUCACCUCAGGAGAACCUCUCAAGGAAGAAACAGCAGCGGAACCCCGGCCCAGGCAGGAAAAGCCAGUCAACAAAUUCCUGAAGAGAUUAGACUGGAGAAACCAGCGGCUCAAAAUUGAGAGACAUCCACCAUCACAGUUCAGGACAGUAGCCAACAUUGGCUCAGCCAUGUUCCAAACAUUUCUGUCAGACUCUCAGCUUGGCUGGUGUCCAACUAAGUUGAGAUUCCCCCAAAAUGUUCCAGAAGUGUGUCUAGUAACCCAAGUUUGCAAAGCACACAAAACAAAACAGCACUCAUAGGCUCUGGGAAGUCCUAUACCAGAAGACAGACAAAGAAAACACUCAGGUGAACUUCGAAGAACCUAGGUCUUCAAAGCUUAUUAUUUCUAAACAGAUUUCAAUUUCUUUCUGUACAUAGCACCUCAUGGAUCAGGC